AUUGAACGCUGGCGGCAGGCCUAACACAUGCAAGUCGAGCGGCAGCGGGAAAGUAGCUUGCUACUUUUGCCGGCGAGCGGCGGACGGGUGAGUAAUGCCUGGGAAAUUGCCCAGUCGAGGGGGAUAACAGUUGGAAACGACUGCUAAUACCGCAUACGCCCUACGGGGGAAAGCAGGGGACCUUCGGGCCUUGCGCGAUUGGAUAUGCCCAGGUGGGAUUAGCUAGUUGGUGAGGUAAUGGCUCACCAAGGCGACGAUCCCUAGCUGGUGUGGGAGGAUGAUCAGCCACACUGGAACUGAGACACGGUCCAGACUCCUACGGGAGGCAGCAGUGGGGAAUAUUGCACAAUGGGGGAAACCCUGAUGCAGCCAUGCCGCGUGUGUGAAGAAGGCCUUCGGGUUGUAAAGCACUUUCAGCGAGGAGGAAAGGUUGAUGCCUAAUACGUAUCAACUGUGACGUUACUCGCAGAAGAAGCACCGGCUAACUCCGUGCCAGCCGCCGCAGUAA
rnacentral:rRNA from 1 species